GGCGGAGUUGCAGAAAAGGCGCCACUUCGAAGUUCGAACACUUUCAGCCAAAGCUCUUUGGUGAACGACAAUGAAGAAAUCCCUCCUGAAACGACGUUCAGAGGAAGAAAGACCCAAGACAGUUUGUGUAGGAAAGUCCUUCGACAGUUAUGAGGAAUUCCAGAGAGCAGUGAGGUUAUGGAGUGCAGAGGG